rnacentral:rRNA from 1 species
AUUGAACGCUGGCGGCAUGCCUUACACAUGCAAGUCGAACGGCAGCGGGGACUUCGGUCCGCCGGCGAGUGGCGAACGGGUGAGUAAUGUAUCGGAACGUACCAUUGAGUGGGGGAUAACGUAGCGAAAGUUACGCUAAUACCGCAUAUUCUCUCCGGAGGAAAGCAGGGGACCGCAAGGCCUUGCGAUCUUUGAGCGGCCGAUAUCAGAUUGGCUAGUUGGGGAGGAAAAGGCUCACCAAGGCGACGAUCUGUACCGGGUCUGAGAGGAUGUUCCGCCACACUGAAACUGAGACCCGUCCCAGACUCCUACGGGAGGAGGCGGGGGGAAUUUUGGACAAUGGGGGCAACCCUGAUCCAGCCAUGCCGCGUGAGUGAAGAAGGCCUUCGGGUUGUAAAGCUCUUUCGGCCGGGAAAAAAUCGCAUGGGCUAAUAUCCUGUGUGGAUGAUGGUACCGGAAUAAGAAGCACCGGCUAACUACGUGCCAGCCGCCGCUGUAA